rnacentral:misc_RNA from 1 species
GAUGAAGAACGCAGCGAACUGCGAUAAGUAAUGUGAAUUGCAGAAUUCAGUGAAUCAUCGAGUCUUUGAACGCACAUUGCGCCCCCUGGCAUUCCGGGGGGCAUGCCUGUCCGAGCGUCAUUGCUGCCCAUCAAGCCCGGCUUGUGUGUUGGGUCGUCGUCCCCCCCGGGGGACGGGCCCGAAAGGCAGCGGCGGCACCGUGUCCGGUCCUCGAGCGUAUGGGGCUUUGUCACCCGCUCGAUUAGGGCCGGCCGGGCGCCAGCCGACGUCUCCAACCAUUUUUUUCAGGUUGACCUCGGAUCAGGUAGGGAUACCCGCUGAACUUAAGCAUAUCAUAAGCGGAGGA